AUCCAAUUAUUUGGUUCAAUUAUAUACAUACAAAUUAAUAAUAUAAGCAACUCACACAACUCUGUUAUUAAACUCUCUACUUACUGAUCUGCAGGUACCUAUUUGGCUAUUUCAACUAUCAAUAAUGUAGUAGUGAAGUACUAAAAUGAAAGAUACAAAGAAAGGUAACGAAACCCUCUAUUCACUAUAAAGACUGAUUAACUAACAGAUAGAUGAUAGCAACAGAUGAUGAAGUAGAUUUGUGAACAAUGUAUAUUACAGCAGCCCAUAACUAUAGAUUCCACAUAUGUGCAGUUAUAAUGCAACAAAAUGGGAGAUAUCAUUGACAGAAAAGGGAGGCCAAGAACAUCUUUUACCAAAAUGGUAACAAUGUAUAUUACAGCAAUCAAAACAAUUCCAUUCAAAACACUUAGUCUACUGAUUUUAUACAUCACCUUCCUCAUUAUAAAUUCCACAUAUGCGCAAUAUGACAAAGAUGAGCAAAUGGAAAACAGGGCAUCUAACGAAAAGAUCAAAGGUUACAGGUACUAAAAUACUCCAGAUCUUUCAGUUAAGCAAACAUUAUUUUGAAUAUUGAUGUUUACACCUUUCAGUUGCAUAAACCUGAAUCUGAAUUCUAUUAAAGAUAAAAGAUGUUGAGAAUGAAGAUCAAAGGAAAUGAGGCAAAGACCAAAAAAUAAGGCAAAGAACAUAAGAUGGCAUAUCAUCAAAGGUCAGAUAUACUAAACUAAACUACUGAAACAUCAUUAUCGUAUAUGAAUAUUGAAGAAGUAAAGUAGAGGACAGUAGAGUUGCAAUAUAACAAUAAAUUAAUAACUACAGAUACAUCAUAUAUGAUUAGACAAAACAGUUGAUGAGUAUGAGAUAUACACAAAGGAAGUAACAUAUACCAAGUAAAAAAGGGAUUUCUUGGUUCUUUUAGGAAGAUGUUGCAGGGUGAGUAAAAGAGAAGCACGCUUGGGUAUUUAUAGAUGUUUGGUGAUGUAUAUUUGCAAACACAGCAGAAUAAAAAAAAUAAACAUUGGAAAACAUACAUAAUCAUAGGUGAGACCUUUCAAAUAACACAAAUAAAUUAUAAUAACAGAAAAUCAGGUAUUUAGAACUAACUUUCGAUUAAAAAAUAGAUGCAGCAACCCUAGACUAAGUUAGUUAAUAGAACAAUUUAAUAUAUACACACUCAGAUUAGAUUUUUGUGCAUGCUCUAUUAAUUAUAGGACGCAUUAAUUGGGUCACAUGUCAGUCGCAUUAAUGACAAUUAGUGGUUGUUGCCAUAUUAAUAUUAACCCUAUUUUGCAGGAAUACCAACAAAACAAAGAACUCCUACUGCCAGAAGAGCCGCAUCUAACCUUGAAAAAGGAAGAGAGAGAGAGAAAGAAUGCUGCAACCAAUAAAAUAGGUUAUAGUACCAAAUAAUUACAUUGAAGCUUGAACACUAUAUCAUUACACACAAAACUGUGCAAAACAGAAGAGGAAGAAAAAGCAAAAAAUAGGAUAUUUGAAUCUUAAUCUUAAUGGAAAAAUAUGAACAACCAAAAACAGGUACUAUUCUUAUUUAUUAAAUUUGCAAACUUGGAUAUUGAAAUAAGUACACUCCAACAAUAUGAAUUCAAUGUCUAAGUUUUUCAAUCAUAUGACUAUAAUGCACUCCAGAUCUAUUAAAAAUAACAUUAAAUGAUACAUUUUGCUUAUGCGGCUGAAAUUCUUAAACAUUAAAUGAUACAUUUAGAUUAUGCAGCUUUGAAAUUAUUAAAUUAGCAUUGAGAUAUUGAAUUCUUAAUUUCUAUAUAUUUAUUAUAUUUUGUACUCAUUAUUUUGUACUAAUAUAUCUUUUAUACUUGUUCAGGUAAUUGAAGCAUUGGAAUUUGCAGAAUAUAUGUAACUCAAUCACAUUCAUUUCUCGAUAUAUUUGAUAGAUUGUACAAAAUAGGUUUAAGGUUUAAUAGUUCAAACAUACUGAACUGCACAAAACAAUCAAUAAAGCAACCAAAAAACAAAUAACAAAAGCAGCACAACAAUAUUGGAACGAUAAAUGACAAACAAUUUUCAUAAAAAACGGCAAAAAAAAACAAAUUGAACCUCAUUUUCCCGCCAAAAUGCUGCCAGGUGGCAGACACAAAAACUGUCCCUUUAGAUAUUGAUAGAUUCUAUUAACAUGCAUUACCAAAAAUAGAAUUUUUCCUACAUUUCAACCCCUACUCUCUUCUUCAAUAACAACCAACAUCACAACACCGAGCAUCUCAAACAUAUCAAAAACUAUACAAUAGAAUGGAUUUCACCAAUAAAAUCCAUUACAAUUAACAAAACAACAAAACAUCGGCCAAAAUUGAACAAUUUGUCAUAAACCAUAAUUCACAAAAUUAGAAGAAACCUACAUAAUAUAAACAAUAAACACCGAAUAAGGGAUAAAUGUUGAAAGA